rnacentral:rRNA from 1 species
CUGCGAUGCCGCGUGAGUGAAGAAGCCUUUGGGUUGUAAAGCUCUUUUGUAGGGGAAGAUAAUGACUGUACCCUAAGAAUAAGGUCCGGCUAACUUCGUGCCAGCAGCCGCGGUAAUACGAAGGGACCUAGCGUAGUUCGGAAUUACUGGGCGUAAAGCGCGCGUAGGCCGUUGAGUUAGUUAAUUGUGAAAUCCCAAAGCUUAACUUUGGAACUGCAAUUAAAACUGCUCGACUAGAGUUUGAUAGAGGAAAGCGGAAUACAUAGUGUAGAGGUGAAAUUCGUAGAUAUUAUGUAGAACACCAGUUGCGAAGGCGGCUUUCUGGGUCAACACUGACGCCGAGGCGCGAAAGUAUGGGUAGCAAAGAGGAUUAGAUACCCUCGUAGUCCAUACCAUAAACGAUGAUUGCUAGAUGUUGGAAAUUUAUUUUCAGUAUCGCAGCUAACGCAUUAAGCAAUCCGCCUGGGGAGUACGACCGCAAGGUUAAAACUCAAAUGAAUUGACGGGGACCCGCACAAGCGGUGGAGCAUGUGGUUUAAUUCGAAGAUACGCGCAGAACCUUACCAACCCUUGACAUGUCUGUCGCGAGUUUAGGAAACUAGACUUUUCGGUUCGGCCGGACAGAACACAGGUGCUGCAUGGCUGUCGUCAGCUCGUG